ACGGUCGCGGAAGCUAUUGCUUCUGAGGAAAGUCCGGGCUUUACAGGGCAGGAUGCCGGCUAACGGCCGGCGGAGGCGACUCCCGGGAAAGUGCAGCAGAAAAUAUACCGCCCCGAAUUUUCGUAAAUGUACGAAAUUAUUGAUGGGAAAAACAUCCAUUGAUCGGGGUAAGGGUGAAAAGGCAGGGUAAGAGCCUACCGCAUCCCUGGUAACAGAGGUGGCAGUGUAAACCCCAUCCAAAGCAAGGUCAAGACGAAGCGUUGAGGCUGCCCGCUGAGCUUCAGGUAGACCGCGUGAGUCUGCUGGUGACAGCAGAUCGAGAUAGAUGACCGUACUUCGACAGAACCCGGCUUAUCGCUGCACUC
rnacentral:RNase_P_RNA from 1 species